GCCCUUGUUGUCUAAUGGUUAUGACGUCAGACUUCUACUGUGGGUUUGAACCCACACUUUAAUCUGGAGGUUCCGGGUUCGAGUCCCGGCUGGGGUU
rnacentral:tRNA from 1 species